rnacentral:sRNA from 1 species
UCACGUCACUCUCAAAUGAAAAGUGUUUAAGUGAAGUCAAAGUGAAGCUGAAAAAAAAUCGAAAAACCAGUUAAAAUUAGUACAAAGAAAUUUUCUGUCUUGCAAUCUGCAAGCAAUAGCUUUAACCGAAAAUGGAAAAGUGUAAAAAUCGUGUCCCAGGAGGCGAGCAGCAGUACGAGUAUUGCAAAAUGCAGGGGCAAGGGCCCACGUAGUAUUUUUCCACGUCGGGCAUUUAAUGCUCUCGAGUUGGAAACAAAGAAACCGAAUGCAAACCCACUGGAAAAGAUGUGAUUAGUCAUCGAUUUUGCUGGUCAGCGUCGGGGAAUUUCGCAAAGCAGCAGGCAGUUUUCUCGAGUUUGGCUAGAAAGUGAACCACUAGGCAGUCUGAGGCAGUUAUCCAGGAUGUCAGGAUGUGUGCAGUACUCUCUGUGUCGAAUGGCGGUGGCCCUGACCUGCGGAUUUUGAAAGAUUGAAAUAGGAAGCCAGGUAUACAUACACAGCAACGAAUGCAGCGUGUUCUAUAUUCUUAAUUCGUAAGCCAAACCUAUGUUUAAGACGUAGUUUAUAUAACCGUACGUAUGUAUGUAGCGAAACACGUUUUCAAACGUCGCAUCGAAGCCAUUUCUUCUGCAGCCAUUGCAAUUUCAUCGUGUUGCGUAAUCGCGAAUUGUAAAUGUGUCCCUACUAUUUCACAUUUGUGUGUAUCCAAGUCGAAAGUUCUCGAACUAUUCUCGUCAGCAACCCCCGGAUCGAAAGGCCACCAACUGGCUCGUUCUCUCUCCCCAGAAACAGCGUACGCAUACGUUUACAAUUGACUCUCUACCUAUCUGGUAUACACAUUUUUAUAUAUGUAUACACUCAGAGACACCCCAAUCCCCCACCAUACAUAUGGACAGAUGUGUGAAUGUAUCGCAGUUGGACGACAACGGCAGCUGUGCAAAAAACGCUGCGGCGUACAUAACACUGAGCUCUCUGUUUGCCUUUCCCUAGUUUUGCUUCCCCAUACGUAUAAAUGGUGUUUAUCAGCGGUAAUCUCGCCAGACUGACUUUGUCCCUGUCGCUUCUAUUGGCAUUCUAAACUAGAUCGUAGACGAUUUAACAUUUACGUAGCUGUUAAUCUUAUUUGUAAACAUCUCUAUAUGCAACCUGCCAUACCACUUAACCAAGCAAUAUGUAUUUCUUUCUCUAAACUUUAUAGUUGGGCGUUGAAAGUUGAUAUCGAUAUCGAUCCGUGAAAAAUCGAUACCCUGCGCAAGCAUGGGGCGGCAUAUGGGUGCUGAAAACGCACUCGGCCCGAUCCCGAUUGCAGCGUUAUUCGAAAGCUGUGUCUGCGACCAUGACUGAGAUCAUAUGCGUACAUAUAUCUAAUGUCCGGGGUCGUGGGCCAGCCAGGGUGCUCGAUUCUGUCAGAUUGAUUGUGCGGAUUGUGUUAUAGGAACACUGGUGUAUCGACUUCUCUGCUCCACUAUGGGUGAAGGAUACCCUACCGAAAAGGCCUUCUGUCGCUUACUAUCAUCGAACAAGUUCCGUAAAGGGCAGACAUACGUACACGUGGCAGCAUAUUACGUUCAAUGACACAUCGUCUCUGGAUUAGUAGUUGAACCAACGAGCUCGAACAUACCCUGCCAGUUGGUUGUAAAUAUUAAUUUUGUUUUUAUAUUCAGUUGUAAAGUCAAUACGGAAGACAUUUCCACACCAACCAUGUGUCACUUAUGUUCUUAAAUACCAGAAACUGUUUAAAUUUUUGUUCUUAUACACUUCACCAAUUAAGAAUUACCUGUACUGAUGUAAGUGUACUUGUUGAAUCACAACAAAAAUAGAAAAAAUGAAUAACAAAAGAGCUCUAUAAUAGAAAAGCCACAGAAAAGUGAAUAAAAAAUUCAAAAACUCAUAAAAAUAAAUUUCGAAACAUCUGCUCGUGAUAUUUUUAUUUCAAGAAAAGAUCCGAUUUCAGUUAUACCAUCUAGCUUAAAUUUAGCGUUACGAGAAUAGUCCCUCGGAGGAAGGGCCUUUUAUCAAGAUGCCAAUAGCGUUCGUCCUAUACACAAAUUACUCAGACGUUAUGAAACCCAGUCGAAAAAUCGGAAAGUGUCUACCAUUGAGGAAAGGUCUCUUGAUCUCCUUUGAGCGCUAAAAGUUUGUAUUGGAACGAGAAUAUUAAGGUUUAAAAUCAGCUGAAAAGUACGUAUAUUCCGCAUUUAUUUUUCUCCACAUUUUUAGGAUCAGAACAUCAGAACUAUAUUUUUUGGAAAAAUCAACGGAAAUUAUUUUGUUUGGAGGUCCCAAAUUCUAUACACCUUCACGAUUAUUCUUGCACACGAAAAAAACAAUAAAUUAUUUUUAUUGAAUGACAAAAAAACACAUUUAUAACUUGAAAACUAUUCUAAGUACUUCAAUUUAAUUACCGUACCAACAUAUAUACACAUGCGACUCGUGUUGGACGAGAUUACAUUAAGAGAACUGUGAAAAAUAAAAAAAAAAAGGCUUACAAUUAGAAAAUGUAAGGUACAAUAUUCUUUAUAAGGAUUUUUUAAAAAUAAAUAAUAAUAACAAAAUGAACCACAAUAAUAUGAUACCUUCAACAAUAGAUAUGAUUUAUGUCGAUUUCCCCAAAUAUAAUCCGUCGAAAAGGCUUAGCCUCCUUGUAAAAUAAACUUAAAACCGUAAAGGUACGGUUUGAUAUUAAACUGUCCCCAAACAACAUCGCAUCUAAUAAUUAACUAAAUUAUUAAGCAAUUUAAAAGGUUGUGUUUUUAGGGUAUACUAGUUAACUUAAUAGGUAGGCAUUUGACAUACGGUAGUUUCCAUGGUAUGUAUUAUAUGAACUCUGCAAUAAAAUGUAUGAUUUAUCUCGAUAAUAACAAGUAUUAUCCGUCGAAAAUAUAUGAAUUCUACAAUAAUAGGUAGGAUUUAUGCCGGUUAACAAAAACAUUAUGCGUCUGAUUGAACAUUGAAGUAUAUGGUAUUUUUUAUUUGGUAUAUCUAAGCAACAUAAAAAUGACCCCAAAUUCUAUGAGCUCUUUAAAAAUAGGUUUUAUUUAUCCCGAUAACCCAAAUCAUUAUCCGUAGAAAAGGCUUGGCCUCUUGGUAAAAGAAACUUAAAAUCCAUAUAGGUAGGGUGUGUUAUAAAACUAUCCCAAUUCAAAAUCGCGUCACAUAAUAAACAAAAAGUUGAAGCAUCUUAAAAGGUCUGAUUUUUAGGACAUAUUCAUUUACUUAAUAGGUAGGCAUUGAACAUACGGUAUUUUUAUAUGGUAUAUCCUAGCAACUGCAACAUGACCCACAAUUAUAUAAACUGUUAAGUAAUGGGUAUGAUAUAUCUCGACUACCCCAAUGAUUAUCCUUCGAAAAGGCUUAGCCUCUUGGUAAAAUAAACUUAAUUUCCAUAUAGGUAGGAUGUCUUAUAAAACUGUCCCACUUCAAAAUCUCGUCACAUAAUAAGCAAAAAGUUUAAGCAUCU